AGGCUAACUCUAUAGAUUGAGCUCUUGUUGAUGAAAUUCUGGGCUUUUAAUCAAAUCUUUGUUUGUGUAUGAUAUAUUUUGAUUUCUCUGUGAAUGUUUUGCUGGUGAUUUGUCAGUGUUGUAUUGGAAAAGGCUGAUUUACGGAAUCGAUGACGUCACUUACACUGAGAGUGUAAUAGGCUGAAAACAAGUUCACAUGAGUUUUGAUAUUUCAUGAUAAACAGAUAUUAAUACAAAUUGUUCUGUGAUUUCAGGAGGACAGAAAGAAACUCUACAGAACAGAAGUGAAGCUCCAAGAUUUCAACAUUUCUGAAGGGAGAUACUGACUUAGAAAUACAGGUGAACUGAAGAAGCUCAUGAAAUACAUUAAUAUGCCUUUUUCAGAAUAUAUUUCACCAAUUUUAAGAAGUCCCUGACAUCAAAACAUUGUUUGUUUUGUUCCUAGACUCUUCAGUGACGAUGAGCAGAGUCUGAGUGAACCUGCUGUCAGACAGUGAGUACCCUGGGGUUUCAGUCAGGGCCUUCAGUAAACAACUGUAAGAUACCUAGAAGGCCCUGCUGCCCCUGACGGCCCACCACUGCUGUCAGACAACAUCUCCAAGAUGCUAUAUACUGCAGGACUAGUAAGUACAAUCUUGAACAUACACAACUGUUUCAUAAGUUUGGUUUGGUAUGGGUUUUUUUAUGUUUUUGAAAGUCUUUUAUGGCAACCACAGUUUAAUGUAUGAAAUGAAUACAAUUUACUACACUUUAAAAGAUUGUUUUCUAUUUGAAUAUAUUUAGAGAAGUAAUUUAUUCCUGUGAUGGUAAAGCUGGAUUUUCAGCAUCGUUACUCCAGUCUUCAGUGUCACGUGAUCCUUCAGAAGUCAUUCUGAUUUGCUUCUGAAGGAACAUUUCUGAUUAUUAUCAGUGUUGAAAACAGCUGUGUUGCUUCAUUUUUUCAGGAUUCUUUGAUGAAUAAAGUUUUAAAACUGUAAAGUGUUUAUUUAAAACAGAAAUGUUUGUUUUAACUUUUGAUAAUUGAUAAGACAUUGAUAAUAAUUAAAAAUGUUUAUU